rnacentral:tRNA from 1 species
GUAUAUAUAAUUUAAAUAAAAUAUUAAACUGUGACUUUAAUUAUGAGAGU